rnacentral:rRNA from 1 species
GAUGAACGCUGGCGGCGUGCCUAAUACAUGCAAGUCGAGCGAACAGACGAGGAGCUUGCUCCUCUGACGUUAGCGGCGGACGGGUGAGUAACACGUGGAUAACCUACCUAUAAGACUGGGAUAACUUCGGGAAACCGGAGCUAAUACCGGAUAAUAUAUUGAACCGCAUGGUUCAAUAGUGAAAGACGGUAUUGCUGUCACUUAUAGAUGGAUCCGCGCCGCAUUAGCUAGUUGGUAAGGUAACGGCUUACCAAGGCAACGAUGCGUAGCCGACCUGAGAGGGUGAUCGGCCACACUGGAACUGAGACACGGUCCAGACUCCUACGGGAGGCAGCAGUAGGGAAUCUUCCGCAAAGGGCGAAAGCUUGACGGAGCAACGCCGCGUGAGUGAUGAAGGUCUUCGGAUCGUAAAACUCUGUUAUUAGGGAAGAACAAAUGUGUAAGUAACUAUGCACGUCUUGACGGUACCUAAUCAGAAAGCCACGGCUAACUACGUG